rnacentral:lncRNA from 1 species
AUCUCAUUUGCUUGGCGAACAAUCUUCAUGAUCCGAAUUGUGCGAAGAAGAAUGAAAGAAACAGCAGCUGGAAGCCAGGCAAUAAGCAAGAUAAAAGCCUUCGAGUCAUCUCCAUAGAAAGCAUGGUAAACUUGAAGCCAGGCAAUAAGCAAGAUAAAAGCCUUCGAGUCAUCUCCAUAGAAAGCAUGGUAAACUUGUGUCAUAAUUGCACCACUUAGACCAACAAACCCCUUCAACAAGCCUAAAACACUUCCUCUGCUUUCUGGGAAGUUCUUGACGCA